GUUUUUUCAUGAGGAAAGAAAGAAGAUGAGCUGAGCAGAGUGGUGGGACCAAGUACUGGCCACACGUGAUCAACUUGCAGCCAAAGAAAAUCUACUAGCCAUCCCAAUAGCUCUGCAGACCGAACGAGCAUCCCAACAAGGUCAACCUGAGCUUUUUAUCCAUCUCCUUACCCUUGGCAGCUGAGAAGACCACCAGGCUGAACAGCCCCCUAAUUACUGUGAUGGCAUUGCCUUGAUUUUGUACUGCAACAUGGCUGUGAUUUGGAGCUUGUCAGCUGAAACUGCUCCACAGAACUGUUGCUCUUUAUCUGGGCUGAGCAAUCAACUUGACAGAGUGGCCAGUGAAGUGGAUGGGUGACCACAUAUUCUUUCGUACUUGUGCCCUCCUCAUCUGGCUGACUUUUGUUUGGAAUUGGUUGCCCGCUGAAGAGUAUGUGUUUUGCCUGUUUCCCUUGAGCUGGAACUUCAGUACCUGAGAGAACUUGGCCGCAUGUGUGAUUUUUCUGGAAUUCACAGAGUUGUGCAGAGUUGUGCUCCUUUCUGCCAUUCUGAAUUGGCAGAAAGAAGAACUUCUCCCCUGCUUUCCACGACAGGACAAGUUCUCUAAUGCAGAUGACUUGGAAGAAGAGUGAAAUGAUGCUGUCCAGCCUGGAUUCUAAACUUGUCAUUAACUGAUAUAAUGCAGGCUGCUUGAUGGGGAGCAGAGCUGUCCCUGCUUCCUACUUUGAAAGAGUAUGUCCUGUAUUUUGAUCAAAUUAGGUUAUUUCUAUUGCCUUCCACCUUAUGUUACAACACAUUUUAUCCUGAUUCGCCCCCCUUCUGUACAUCUCUCUCAGGUUUUUGCAGCCUUCCAAGCAUUUUGGGAAUGCUUCACAAGAAGCAGUUGUGUAGUGUCUCUCUACUAAAGGUACACUGUUUUCAUCUCCCAUACUGUUUUCUUUUUUUGCCCAAUUUGUGUCAGGAUGUAGUGUGGCAGAAUGUGAAAAGAGUAUGCCUCUGCACUGAGAAUGGUAAGAGUACUGCACCCCAAUUUCCCAACUCCUUUUUCGUAACUGCAAAGGAAAACUUCCUCUUAGAAUUCAUGGCAAAACUACAGUUGAAUUUCACCAAGUAUUUGUAGCAGGAUAACUAUGUCACUGGAGCACCCAAACCUGGCUGUAUUAUGGAGUAGAAACUUUAAAGCACCCUGUAAAGUGGUGAACAGAGACGGCAGCAAAGGAUAUAGGACAGAUUUCCAUUCUAAACGUAUUAAAGUUUUUAU
ensembl:lncRNA